rnacentral:lncRNA from 1 species
UUUAAACAAGUCAAGUUUGCUUUUAAUUCUAUUUUGAAGAAAUAAUUCAUUAUAGGAUUACCCAAGCUAGCCUUCACUGUUAUUUGAGCUUAGGUAAAUGUCAUAUGUAUAUAUAUAUGCGCUCAUAUGAAUAUACUCAAGAAAAAUUAAUGUUACCAAUUAAACUUGGCACAAUUAGUGAAAGUAUUAGAGAUUUUGAGCAUUGAGUACUUAGAUUUAAGAUUUAUUAUGUGUAAUUAUAAGUGUAAAUUUUCGAACUUCAUCAUGUGUGAGUUUUAGUCUAAUGUAUCGAUUUGAUGUAACAUUAUAAUUUCUCUAUUUUUUUUAGGAUAAAUGUGAGGUAUUUGUAUUGUACAUAUAAAUGUAACAUAUCAGCUGGUCUUUAAUAGCUAUGAAUUGGGAGCUUAGAAGGCAUCUUAUUGCACAACUAUUGAUGGCCAGGGUCCAUGAUUGUGUUUUUCAUAGGAAGACUCAGAAUACAUACUCUAUCUCAAUGGAAAUUCCAGGGAAAUUUCGGCCACAUUGACGCAUGCUAGAAAUCACUGGUGUUGCAUUCAAUGGGGGAUUAGGAAAUGUCACAGGCCCAAAUCCCAACGUCAACGAGAAAAUUCUCUUUUAAUUUAAACCUAUCCAUAUCAUCAAUGGAUAUUUUAAAAUGUAAUCAUUCCUAUCUGCGUCUUCUUGUCACUUUCUCAAAGAAAUAAACAAGUUGCAGAUUGGAG